rnacentral:snoRNA from 16 species
UCACAUGAUGAUAAAUCCCAUUUUUCAAUGUUUCUGGUACCUCUUAUGUCAGGGACGGGCAUUCCAUGCCUUGUCCCGAUGAUCUUAAUGGACUUCUGAUA